CCCUUAGAUGUCCUGGGCUGCACGCGCGCUACACUGAUGUGUCCAGUAAGCACCUAACCUCUUCCGAAAGGAACGGGUAACCUUUGCAAAGCACAUCGUGAUGGGGAUAGAUUAUUGCAAUUAUUAGUCUUGAACGAGGAAUUCCUAGUAAGCACAAGUCAUCAGCUUGUGUUGAUUACGUCCCUGCCCUUUGUACACACCGCCCGUCGCUCCUACCGAUUGAGUGUUCCGGUGAAUAAUUCGGACUGCAGCAGCGUGGGGACUCCUCAUGCUGCAGCGGAAAGUUUGGUGAACCUUAACACUUAGAGGAAGGAGAAGUCGUAACA
rnacentral:rRNA from 1 species